rnacentral:lncRNA from 1 species
UGGAAUUUAGGAGAAUUCUAAGAACCUGAGUGUCUUGAGGGAACAGCAGAGGAGAUGUGAUUGAACGAGGAGUACUGAAGAGCACCAAGCAUGAGAGGACAGAUCUUUCUGAAUGGAAUGUGUCCUGGCUGAAACAUGGAGCAGAAAUUAUACAGAUCAUGAAGACA